GACGAACGCUGGCGGCGUGCCUAAUACAUGCAAGUAGAACGCUGAAGAGAGGAGCUUGCUCUUCUUGGAUGAGUUGCGAACGGGUGGGUAACGCGUAGGUAACCUGCCUGGUAGCGGGGGAUAACUAUUGGAAACGAUAGCUAAUACCGCAUGAUAUUAAUUAUUGCAUGAUAAUUGAUUGAAAGAUGCAAUUGCAUCACUACCAGAUGGACCUGCGUUGUAUUAGCUAGUUGGUGAGGUAACGGCUCACCAAGGCGACGAUACAUAGCCGACCUGAGAGGGUGAUCGGCCACACUGGGACUGAGACACGGCCCAGACUCCUACGGGAGGCAGCAGUAGGGAAUCUUCGGCAAUGGGGGGAACCCUGACCGAGCAACGCCGCGUGAGUGAAGAAGGUUUUCGGAUCGUAAAGCUCUGUUGUAAGAGAAGAACGGGUGUGAGAGUGGAAAGUUCACACUGUGACGGUAUCUACCA
rnacentral:rRNA from 1 species